rnacentral:lncRNA from 1 species
UCGUAUAGACAAGAAGAGGAGGUCGAUGAACAUCGCGAUCAGGAGAAUUUUUGUAAGUAAUAACUGAAGUAUGAUUAGUAUAAUUAGUAUUACAGGAUUUCUUAUAAGAUUUUAUUUGAAUUUGUAAUUACAGGAGCAGUUAGAUAUGCUUGCGAGCGAGGAUCCAAACACCUCGGCCCCCCAUGACCAUCUGUCUCAGGUCUUGGGACCUAAGCACUCUAAGAGGAUUCGUUGCAUAACCGGACAUAUGCCGACGAGCUACUG